rnacentral:rRNA from 1 species
UACGUAGGGGGCUAGCGUUGUCCGGAAUCAUUGGGCGUAAAGCGCGUGUAGGCGGCCCGGUAAGUCCGCUGUGAAAGUCCAGGGCUCAACCCUGGGAUGCCGGUGGAUACUGUCGGGCUCGAGUCCGGAAGAGGCGAGUGGAAUUCCGGGUGUAGCGGUGAAAUGUGUAGAGAUCCGGAGGAACACCAGUGGUGCAGACGGCGCCCUGGGCCACUACUGACGCUGAUAUACGAAAGCGUGGGGAGCGAACGGG